rnacentral:tmRNA from 1 species
GGGGAUGAUCGGUUUCGACAUCGCUCGCGAAACUGCGUGAAGCGGGUAGAGGACGCGGGGUCAUCUCUGAAACGCCCCUCGCAACCAACAAGUGCCAAUAACAAGCGCACUGACUUCGCCCUCGCUGCCUAAGCGAGCCUCGAGUCCGUCGGUCUGAGUCUGCGUUCGGCUCAGGGUCCGGCGUCGUAUUGAACGCUCGCUGCCGAGUCGCGUCGCAGGGCUCGGUGGGACUUUUUCUGCGACUGGGUCCGUCGGCCAGGCUGUUCGUCGCCAGGGUCGGGACCGAGCAACACGUCUGACGAACUGCACCCGGAGAAGCCGCAGGCUCACAGCGAUGGACGGGGGUUCAAUUCCCCCCAUCUCCACUG